rnacentral:misc_RNA from 1 species
GUGAAUCAUCAAAUUUUUGAACGCAAAUUGCACUCUCUUCGGAGAGUAUGCCUGUUUGAGUGUCAGCCUAAAAAAAAUCGACAUAUUCGCUUUUUCGCGGUGACAUUCGUCGGAAAUUGGUUCAUCUUAAACCUUUUGUUUUUAAGCGGCUUAAAAUUUUCUUUACUAUUCCACUAACGUUUCUAAGAUUUACUUACACGUUUAAGUUAUCGAUCUUUAUUAAACGUUGCCGUUUCAUCUUAUCUCUUCCAUAAAUAUUUCUUUAACUGACCUCAUAUAGGUAAUAACAUCCGCUGAACUU